rnacentral:piRNA from 1 species
CAGGACCAUAUGCUCAAAACUCUUUGUA